GCUAGUCAGGUGCUAGUCAGGUGCUAGACGGCGAGUCAGGUGCUAGACGGCGAGUCAGGUGCUAGACGGCGAGUCAGGUGCUAGCCGGCGAGUCAGGUGCGAGUCAGGUGCUAGUCGGCGAGUCAGGUGCUAGUCAGGUGCUAGACGGCAAGUCAGGUGCUAGCCGGCGAGUCAGGUGCUAGACGGCGAGUCAGGUGCUAGACGGCGAGUCAGGUGCUAGUCGGCGAGUCAGGUGCUAGUCGGGUGCUAGACGGCGAGUCAGGUGCUAGACGGCGAGUCAGGUGCUAGACGGCGAGUCAGGUGCUAGUCAGGUGCUCGUCGGGUGCUAGACGGCGAGUCAGGUGCUAGUCAGGUGCUAGACGGCGAGUCAGGUGCUAGACGGCGAGUCAGGUGCUAGUCAGGUGCUAGACGGCGAGUCAGGUGCUAGUCAGGUGCUAGAGUCAGGUGCUAGUCAGGUGCUAGACGGCGAGUCAGGUGCUAGUCAGGUGCUAGACGGCGAGUCAGGUGCUAGUCAGGUGCUAGACGGCGAGUCAGGUGCUAGUCAGGUGCUAGACGGCGAGUCAGGUGCUAGUCAGGUGCUAGUCAGGGGCUAGAUGGCAAGUCAGGUGCUAGUCAGGUGCUAGUCAGGUGCUCGUCGGGUGCUUGACGGCGAGUCAGGUGCUAGACGGCGAGUCAGGUGC